rnacentral:misc_RNA from 1 species
UUGCGCUCCCGGGAUAUGCCUGGGAGCAUGCUUGUCGGGGAGGAGGAGGCGAAAACUCGCCCACAGCUUUGGGUUCGAUCUCGACCUCAAGGCGGUGGAGCGGAAUAUGAGUGUUCCGGGGAGCGGUAGUGCGGUGUGUAUUUUUGUACAUGCCUCCUGCUCGUCCCCUGAGUCCACCCAAGCCUAGAGAGCUACCGAUUGUCCGGGCCUCAUUGCCUUUGCGGCGCUGUAGACAGGUCCACCUUGCGUCCUCCGGAAGAUCCGCUGUUGAUACCUUCGCAACCUCGCCCCCUCUCGCGGGGCGGGGCAGGGCGAAGGAGACACUGACGCCGGGGAUGUGCGCGGGUUACCUUGAGGCGUCGCAGGAGGCAAGUUCACCUUGCGUCCUCCGGAGGAUCCGUUGUUGACGGCGCCCCCUAUCGCGGGGCGGGGACACAACGGGUCGCCGGGGAUGUGCGCGGGUGUCCUUGAGGCUUGGGACGGUAGGUAGUCUCGAGAGUACCGGUGAGAGGCCGGUGAUUAUGAUUAUGCCAUACCCCCGAUCAAGCAAGAAGACCCGCUGAAUUUAAGCAUAUACUAAGCGGAGGA